AAUUAAGGUUUUUUUAAUUAGUGAGGAAAACCUCUGUUAAUUCCACCUGGAUGUGGAAUCAUAGUGUCGGUAGGAAGGAUUCUUUCCUUUGCAGGGUGAGCUGUCUACACAGCAGAGUUCUUGCUGUGUGAGUGAGCAGGCUGAAGCCUGAGAUCCAAUGCUGUGGGACAAGAAGUUCUUUCAUUCAUUGAAUGAAUGCCAUCUUGGGUGCCAAAUAGAACCUUUUCUGUCCCUGUAGUGCUUGUUCUGCAUGUCUAUCUGUCUGCUGUAUCUUUUCUGACCCUUAUUUUUGACCUCAGACUGUUUACUUGAAGGAAAAUAAUUUGUGCCCUUCUGUUUUGCUCAGCAAAGGGUAACACUGGAUUUGCUUUGGUUGUAGAAUAGUAUUUUCAAUCUGCUGGGGUAAGUUAUGAGCAAUUCUGUUUUAACUUCAAAAUCAAUUUUGGGGAGAUCUAGCUCUUUUCAAGAGCUCCUCUACCAUUCCUUCAUGGCCUCAAGUAUGAGGUUGUAUCAGUCUCCUUUUCAGGACUGUGGAGAAGAUGGACCAAACAACAUACUGGAAUUUGAGGCACCUUCUCUCUCUUUUUAUUUAUGGAUGGAUUAUCACCUGCAGUAACUAUGGAACAGUUCUGUAGCUGCUCUGCAAAUUACAGGAAGACAUUUUUCUUUCCCCAGGCCAGCUAGCAUUUAUCCUUGCAUCAAAGCUCAUCUUCAAAACUGUAUUAGUGCAGAGUUUGUUGAAACAUUAAUUUUAUCCUCUUUGCUUGGUUUAUACCUCAGCAGAGGUGUGAUGUCUGUGUUUUACUCCCAGCAGUAACCACGAGCGAAGCAAAUUAGUUAAUUUUGACUUAUCCACAGGUAUUAAAAACAAUGUUUAUUCCUUCCUCUAAGUUUCCUGUAUGUUUUUUAAAUUCAGUGUAAUAGACUCUCCCUUCAGCCAUUAAUCAGCUACUGUAAAGCUUAAGAAUGUCACUAGUUAAAAAAAAAAGCAAUGCGUGUUCUUUCCUUACUGCAAUCUGCAAAUCCAUUGUUAGAGCACAUUUCCUUAACAACAGAAAUCUUGGUCUGGCUUUGAAACAGCAGUUCUUUGCGGCGGUGACUAGCCUCCUACCUUGAUCAGUGUGGUUCAGACUAGGAAGCCUUAUCCUUACUGAACAGAAACUGUUGUAGAUGUGGCUCAGCAUUGUUGGGAGAAGGACACAAGCAAGUGCAUGCAAAACUCACUCUUUUUGCUAUAAGCACCAAGUACAAUGUACAUACUUGCCCUGUUUAGAGCUGACUUGAGAUCAAUAGUUUAGUCCUAACAGGUUGAUGAACAGCUGGCAAGUAAGUCCUGCAGCUCGGCAACAACUGCAGUUUAGAUCCUGAUGGAUGACUUAAUAAAUUUAAUGUAAUUUUUGUUUUGUUGUUUGCUUGUUCCUUUUAAUUCUGUGUCCAGUAUGUAACAACUUCAAUGAAUAGGCAUGAACCAUACCUUGGAUCUUGUUGGAGUUGUGCUGGAUGGGACUUGCACUGCAGAUGUUUACUGCAGCCCUAUGGUGUGUCAGGGCUGGUGGUGUCCUGUCCAUCCUGUUCUGCUGCUGCUGUACUUGAGGAGGCCAAAGCCUGAGAUCCUGUCAAAGAAGAACUUAGUCUUGAACACAUUCUGAGGAAAGAAAGUGCAUCCAGAAGAACUGGAAAGAAGCGAUAAGUAGCUGACAAGUUGAUGUGUAGCUCCUUAGAAGAACCAAGGUAUUAAAACAGAAAACCCAGCAAAAGUGAGAAAAAUGAAUCAGUAUCUUGAUAGUUCUCAGACUGGAGGCACUGAAGUCCUCUAUAAGCUGCUGAACACUGCUUCUCCUGCAGAUGCAAGUUGCUCUAGGGUGCUGCAAGCAUCCCUGUUUGCUCUUGGUGUAAUGAAGACCAUCACUCCUGUCCUACAAGGACAGUCUGUGGGUGGGUAAGGAUGAGGUUCAGCUGCUGAGAAGGAGGAGCACAACUUGUGAAGGCUCAUAAUGUAGAUGCUCACCACUUGAGUUCAUGAAAACACACAGCAAGGCUGCUCUGGGGUUUUGGAUUUAGCAGAAGCUUUGUACAGCAGAGGGAGCAGAUGGUAGGAGCUAAACUGCAAAUUCUGGUGUCAUUCUCCUCCUCUCAGAAUUAUAUUUAUACACAUGCAGGUAUCUCUUUGUCAGAUGUCAGGAACUGGCAGUUUCUGAUUCAUGGCAAUUGUUGUACCUCCCUCAUGAUCUCUCUUUCUCAAUUAUCAAAUGGAACUGCAAGAUCAGGUGAAAAUAGCAACAUCUGUGCAACACCCUGAGUUCUUAGUACCCACACAAGUGUAGAUAGAAAGAAAGGUGAAAACCCGAACCCUGCUGCGGGUUAAUGUAUCACACGACUUUUAUUUAGUAUUAACAUUGUAGAACUAUAGUGCUGUAGUACUACAAAAAUGAAACUUCUUGUUCUCAAACCUGUUUCUUCCAUUCUGUGUUGUUUUAUGGCUGUUUCAUUAUCUUGAACACGUGUUUUUUUUUCUCUUACUGUUUUUCCCCAUGUGAUGGUCUGGGUGUUACCCCCACACACACACUUUAGAAAUCACCCAGGCUAGACUCAGCCAGCUCUGGAAAGUGAAUGAAGCUUAUUUUUACAGCUAGCACAAUAUACAAGCAGAUAUUUACAGCAUAUACAGUUAUAGACAGAAAUAGACAAGGUAAAAGGUAAUACAGAAACACAACAGCCCUCCCAGAAACCUGAGUCCCCAGGAGGGGCUCCCAAGUGCCCUUCCACCUUCUCCCACCCCUGUCUGCCUUGCCCCAGAUGUUGCCUUGUGCCCAAGGAAGAAUGGAGGGUCGCCCAGGGGGGGUUAGGAAGCAGGUGGAUUAAUCAGGUUAGGUUAGAGAGAGAAAAGUGCAGCCCACAGCCCAGACAGAGUGACUACCUUAUCUAUGUUUGGAUUCUUGUUCUUAUACCUCUCAGCAAGCCUAUGAGUGAAGUAGACAUCACCACUCUUUCACAGCUUGUAAUCUAAUUCUUCUCACCAAAACAUUCUAGCUAGCUUCAAACUAGCACACCCCAGCAGUUGAAAUAGUUUCUCUUGCUCCAUCAGCUGUGCACUGCCUGAAUGACUUAUGACACCUUGAAGAAACAAGGUCUGGAGUUGUCUUUGUCUCCUCUUUACUUUUGGAAAAAAACUUGCUCAGUAAAAGGCAAGAAAAUAAGACAGGCUGCAAGCUGGAGACACAGCACAGGAUAUCUGCUGUGCAUGCCUCAACCUUGGGAAACUUUAGUUUGGAGCUCUGUCAAGGAUGAGGCACAUGCCAGUAGGAAACUUGCCUUUAUUAUUUCCCAGGCUUAGAGAGCUACUUGUUUCCUAUUUAACUCAAAUAACUGUGCAGAUUUGGAGACAAAUGUGGUAACAACAAGAACAAAAAUGUCUGUAGCUGUUCCAAGAAUUCUCUGUACUUGUUUCCUGUAUUUAUUUAAAAUUUAAUACUUAUAUGGCAAGAGUCAUGCUUGAUAAAAUGGGGAAACUCAGGGUUUCUUUCUUUUACACUUUGCAAUGCCACAUGGAGAUGUGAGCAUUUAGGACAUCCUUAUCUGCACCAUUAUGAUACACAAAUGCCCUUGACUAUCUCUGUGUGUAGGGACUCCUAUCCAUCCCUAUAUAUCUGAUGAGGUUUUGACUGGUUGUUAAGAUGCAGCUGUUGAAGUUGUCGUACUGAAUCAUUUUAAAAGCCUCUGAGGAGCACACAAGGGUGCUGUGAUAUUGCCAGUGCCUCAUGCCCUGCUUUUGUCACUCAUGCUAUACCGUGGCUCUCAGCCACCAGGGUCAGGAAUCAGCCAUCCCUGGGGUCCACUUGCAGGUGUCAUGCUCAGGGAACAGCAAAGACUGAACACUCUGAGAUAUAUUUUUAGGGAGGUUUGUCCUUGAAUCACAACACCACUUAAUUUGGAAAAGACCCAUAAGAUUAUUGAGUGCAACAAUUAAGCUAACACUGCCAAGUCCACCACCAAACCACAUCCCUAAACACCACUUCUAUGCAUCUUUUAAAUACCUUCAGAGAUAAUGACUCAAUCAGUUCCCUGGGCAGACUGUUGUAAUGCUUUACAACCCAACAGGUGAAUAAGUGUUUCCUAACAUCCAAUCUAAACCACCUCAGGCACAACUUGAGGCCCUUUUGCUCUCACCCUAUCACUUGUUACUUGGGAGAGGAGACCAGCACCCACCUCCCUACAGUCUCCUUUCAAAUAGCUGUAAAAAGCAAUAAUGCCUCCCCUGAGCCUUCUGUUGUCCAGGCUAAACAAUUCCUGUUUCUUCAGCUGCUCCUCAUAAGACUCUUUACAAGCUUUGCAGCUUUUGUGUUGACAUACUCCAGCACCUUUCUUUCCUAUGGUGAGUGACCCAAAACAGAACACAACGUUUGUUUUAAGUGUGGUCUCAACAGUGAUAAGUACAGAGGCACAAUUACUUCCCUAUUUCUCUGGCCACACUAUUUCUGGUACAAGAUAUGAUUCUGUUGGCCUUCUCAGCCACCUGCUGGCUCAUGUUCAGCCAGCUGUCAACCCCCAGGUCCUUUUCUGCCAGGCAACCUUUCAACCACUCUGCCCCAAGCCUGUAGCACUGCAUGGGGUUGUUGCAACCCAAGUGCAGGACCCAGCUCUUGGCCCUGCUGAACCUCAUGCAGCUUGCCUCAGCUUAUCCAUCCAGCCUGUCCAGGUUCCUCUGCAGAGCCUUUCUGCACUAUCAAGCAGAUCAACACUUCUGCCUAGCUUGUCCCAGACUUACUGAGACUGCCCUCAAUCCUGCUGUCCAGGUCACUGAUAAAAAUUCUGACCAGAAUAGUGAGCCCUGGAAAACACCACUUGUGACUGGCCACCAAUAGAUUUAACUCCAUUCAUCACAGCUCUUUGUUUGGCCAGCCAAUUCUCUUUGAAAUACCUCUUCCUGAACUGUUUUGUUGGCUCAGAUUUGCAAGUAUCUCUGCUUCUCCCUCUGCUGUUAAUGACUGUCACUACUAAGUUCAGAGCAUGGCACUUUCAAAAGCACAGCUUAAUUAUUCUCACAUACCAGUCUGGUCAUUCCCUUAUCAAGCCAUAAAAGUAGAUGAUACAAAAUCAUUACAGCAAGACCUUAAAAAUUACUGACAAGUAAUAUGGCUAAAUUUUAAUUACUUCAUGUGAUGAGUGUUUAGGUAAAAUUCUGCCCUUAGCUUCAAAUGCCCUCAGAUUCUCAUUAGCUAAAACCCCACUCAUUAGGAAGAGCACAUUCCUGGGACAAACACAUCAGCUGUUGUAAAUUGUUCCACCAAAGUUUUCUGCCGUUCACUGAUUUUCUCGAGGUAAGUUCCCUGUUAUUUGUUCAAUAUUCAAUAGACAAAGUUUUCAGUUCUGCUUAUUGUCUACCACUUAGGAAAGCUUUCUGUGUUCUUUUCUAUAGCAUGUCCAUUAUGGAGUCUCUCCCUAUGUUUUAUUUUUCCCUGUCAAAUAGCUGUUUGAUACUUUACACUGUACUGUGUAACAGCAAUUUUAAGCUAGAAAACUGAUCGUCAAAUUACGUCUGUGAAUAAAAGUCACAUUUGAAAAACCAAAAUGCUUUGAUUUUAAGGGCAUUUCAGAAACUGAUCAAUUUAAUGCUUAAAUGCACUGGGCUGUCUAUGCAACACUACAUACUAAUCAUAUGUUGGUUGUAUAUUUAAUCCCAUGUGAAACCAACAAAAAAAAACCCCUGCAACAAAGCAAAACGUGAAAACCCCAAAAAACUUCUUGCACUAGAAGCAAAGCAUUCAAGGUAAUUGUUUGUAGGUACUACACCUACAAACAAUGUGAGCCAAAAUAAUCUCAAAAGGAGCCCAAAGGAAGAUGCACUUUGUUUUUUUAGCAGUGAGUUCUGUUUAUAAAUGAUUGCAGUUAAUAUGUUGUGCUAUGAUUGCUGUUAAUAUAUUGUGCUGGGUAUUUGUAGACCUAGAGGCAUUUUUGUAUAUCUGAGACAAUGUGGAUAGCAGACAUGCAAAUAAAGCCUGAAGUUAAUUUCA